rnacentral:rRNA from 1 species
AAGCUCGUAGUUGAAUUUCGGGAUCAAUACGUCGGUCGUGCUUCGGUACGUACUGGCGUCAUCGAUUUCUCCCUUCUGACGAACCAUGAUGUCAUUAACUUGGUGUCAUGGGAAGUCAGGACUGUUACUUUGAAAAAAUUGAGUGUUUAAAGCAGGCUCACGCUUGAAUACAUUAGCAUGGAAUAAUGAAAUAGGACGUUCGAUCCUAUUUUGUUGGUUUUAGGAUCAACGUAAUGAUUAAUAGGGAUAGUUGGG